rnacentral:SRP_RNA from 1 species
UUUGGUCGUCCGCGCGGCGGUACCCUACCCAACCCUCCCAGGGCCGGAAGGCAGCAAGAGUAAGUAGGCUCUUCCGGGUGCGCGGGCGAUCAUUUUU